GGUUAAGCGACUAAGCGUACACGGUGGAUGCCCUGGCAGUCAGAGGCGAUGAAGGACGUGCUAAUCUGCGAAAAGCGUCGGUAAGGUGAUAUGAACCGUUAUAACCGGCGAUGUCCGAAUGGGGAAACCCAGUGUGAUUCGUCACACUAUCGUUAACUGAAUACAUAGGUUAACGAGGCGAACCGGGGGAACUGAAACAUCUAAGUACCCCGAGGAAAAGAAAUCAACCGAGAUUCCCCCAGUAGCGGCGAGCGAACGGGGAGCAGCCCAGAGUCUGAAUCAGCUUGUGUGUUAGUGGAACGGUCUGGAAAGUCCGACGGUACAGGGUGAUAGUCCCGUACACCAAAAUGCACAGGCUGUGAACUCGAAGAGUAGGGCGGGACACGUGGUAUCCUGUCUGAAUAUGGGGGGACCAUCCUCCAAGGCUAAAUACUCCUGACUGACCGAUAGUGAACCAGUACCGUGAGGGAAAGGCGAAAAGAACCCCGGCGAGGGGAGUGAAAAAGAACCUGAAACCGUGUACGUACAAGCAGUGGGAGCACCUU
rnacentral:rRNA from 1 species